rnacentral:rRNA from 1 species
GAUGAACGCUGGCGGCGUGCCUAAUACAUGCAAGUCAAGCAAACAGACGAGGAGCUUGCUCCUCUAACGUUAGCGGCGGACGGGUGAGUAACACGUGGAUAACCUACCUAUAAGACUGGGAUAACUUCGGGAAACCGGAGCUAAUACCGGAUAAUAUAUUGAACCGCAUGGUUCAAUAGUGAAAGACGGUUUUGCUGUCACUUAUAGAUGGAUCCGCGCCGCAUUAGCUAGUUGGUAAGGUAACAGCUUACCAAGGCAACGAUGCGUAGCCGACCUGAGAGGGUGAUCGGCCACACUGGAACUGAGACACGGUCCAGACUCCUACGGGAGGCAGCAGUAGGGAAUCUUCCGCAAUGGGCGAAAGCCUGACGGAGCAACGCCGCGUGAGUGAUGAAGGUCUUCGGAUCGUAAAACUCUGUUAUUAGGGAAGAACAAAUGUGUAAGUAACUAUGCACGUCUUGACGGUACCUAAUCAGAAAGCCACGGCUAACUACGUG